rnacentral:lncRNA from 1 species
UCUCUGCUAAAUACGGGGAGGGAUUCCACUUUUAUAAUACACGGUGACAAACAACUUUUUGUAUGAACGCGAUCAAGGAUUGAAAACUCCAAUUCCAAUUUGUGUAGAAGAUCCCUCCCCAACUGCUAAAGUAUAUCACGAGCUGGAAGUGAUUGAUUGACCGUUCAAUUAAUAAAUAGUACGUCAGCUUCACCCACAGGACCUGACAUAGACUAGAUAAUUAAUUGAAGUAAUUGACAGCUUUUUUCCAUAUAAUAUAAUAAUGCACAACGUUUUACACACUCCUAAAAAUUGAUCAAAUAUGGACCCCACAAAAGGAAAUUUUGCCCUGAUAGCAAUUUUUCACUUCAAAAAAUUAAAUUUUUUGAUCAUUAUUUUACUGUUUUAACCGUCAUUUUUACUUCUUCAGUUACAAAUUAGACUCACCUUUCUCUCUAAUGAUCAAAAAAUCAAUUAUCAUAAUCGCUAUCGAACAGACCCUUUAUUUUUGAAAUCCUCACCCAGUCACUCAUUUUGGCCAAGAUGUGUAGAAUCAUGGAGUACGUAGAUUGGUUGGAUGGCAUAUUGUCGUUCUAGACAAGGUAUAACUUGCAAUCUCCCUUGCUCGACGAUUAGCAGCAAGCAAAGUGGCGUUUAGUGUGUCUUGUGCUUAAGCGUAUAAAUGCAGCCAGGUUUCGUGACCUCACAUGCCUUGUGUUUGGGUUCACCAACAGUGGUUUGGGGAUAUCAUUUUCAUUUUUUUUGGACAUUACAAAUUACGUUUUUGGUUUUGACUUGGUCAAAUGGAGUGCUACGGUUUUCAAGCUUGUCAGGAUAGUGGGAUAUUUUUGGAGUUACAUUAUAUGAUUCUAAAUGUAUUCAUUCAUUAUUGUGUGUCGGUUAAGGUUACACCACAAAUAAUUUUGCAUAUCCUUAACUUAUUCUUUGUAAAAUCGCUUCACUUGUUUGGGAUAACUUUUGUUUUUUGAAACUUGGCAAAAUUUUAUCUUUAACUAUACAUUUCUUGGAUCCACAACUUUUAUCCACAUUUUCACUAGACAUUUCAUAAGAUCUACCAACUUUUGUGAACUUUAAAUAACAUACGCAGCGCCAAAAUAUGAUGUUGUAAAUUAAUUGUUUGGGUAAGUCAUAGUAUCGAUUUUACAUUUGAAUUCGAUGAUAUUCGAUUGUUUGUACAUAAUUAUGGAUUUCAAGAUGUUUUGAUAGAAAAUUAUUAUUUUACACUUUUAUAAAACAAUUUUUGAUUAUUAUCAAAUUGAAUACGGAUUUGAAGAUUUUAAAGAUUGGUCUGAAAUCAUUGAGUCACCUUAGAACUCGAAGUCCAAGGUCACUCAAAAACCAUAUUUUUAUUAUUGUUUUUGGGUCCAUAUAGGGCUCGGGAUCAGAACCCAAUGUAUGAAAUGGUAUAAAUUUAGUUAACUAAAAAUCGAUAAUUUUUGUUAAUGUCAAUACCAUAAAGAAGCAGAGCUACCAAAAUUUCACUCGGUCAUUUAUUUUUUUGCCAUUGUUUAAUAGGCAACUAUUAUGUGUAUUCUGUUGAAAUUCUGGUAGCAUGUUUCUGUACACAAAAGAUUUCAAUCAUAAAUGAUGAAAAUAUCUCUUACAUGUAUGUGUGCCUGAUUACAAUUGAUUCGACUGUGAAUUAAUGAAUAAUAAAUUUUAGCUUCCCCACUGGAGUGAGUUUGGUCACAACCAAAUAGUUGAGGCAUCUAAUCAUCAUUCAAGCUUUCUAAAUAAAAUAAAAUAAAAUAAAAUAAAAUCUACAAUUUGAGCACGUUUGGUGAUAAAUAUAUUUUAUAAUUUUAUUCGGGGCCAUAAAUAAUGACAUUUCAUAGUUUUUAGAUUGAAAUAUUACCUAUUUUAUUAUGUGUUGCAUUUAAUAAGUAAAACUUAUUAUUUGUGAAAAAUUGGAGAAAAUAAGCUAAAAAUAGAGAAGAAUGGAGAAAUUCUAAGUGUAAGAACUAAAGUGCAAAUACUCAAAAGUUGUGAUGGAUCUCAUGAUAAAAAUUUGAGAGUGUUAGGUGUCAAUUGAAUGAGAAAAGUAGUCAAAAUAAUGAAAUAUAAUCAAAUAUUAAUUUUUAGUUGAAAAAAAUUAUGCUACGAAUUUUUAACCUCAAAUUGAGACCAUUUUGGUAUAGUAAACAUUCGAAUUGGAAACAUGAUAUUCUAAAAGAAUUGUAGCCCUCUAAAUUAUCUUUUCAACGCAUUUUUAAUCACUUCAAUUGCAUAUUGAGAGAGAAAUUUAUGAAAAAAUACUAAAAAAUGCCCAUCAGAGAGACCAAGGGCGUGCACCUCAACCAAAACAGGGGGCAUCUGAGGCGCCCCAGGCAAGCCAAGCGCACGCCUCAAUAUGAAAAUAAGAAACCUUGGUAUAAAAAUAAGAAAAAUCCGAUUUUCGUUAUUUUUGUUAACAAUUCAGUGGAAUCUUUUAUGCAUUCUAUAAAUACCAAAACUCGACCAGAACAUGGGAAUCCUAAAUUCGACCUGAAUUGCAUCAUAUCCUACAUAUUUUGGAGGCGAAUAAUAAGUCAAUACAUUAAUUCAAAGCGAAUCAUGCAAGGAUUUUGAAAAUUCAUAGCCCCGUUUUAAAUUUGAACCAAGAAUGUGAAUAUCUUUUACUUCUUCUAUUAUUCUUACUUUCGGGUGAUGUUUUUCCAAUUAUUCUUGUGUAAUUUAAUGAUAAAGAAUGUAAACUAAGUUUUUUAUUGUGUUGGAUGGAUGAUGAACAUUAUUAGUAGUUGUUUUUAAUUCAAGGCUCAUUAAUUUAAUAAUUUCUUUAGUUUCUUGAUUCUACAUUAUUUUGUUUGAAUGCUUGAUCACCAUUUAGAUAACUUUUUAUCUAUUCGCAGUGUUGGGAGGCUCACAAUAGAUAGAACACUACAUAUUUAAUACACGGGAAAUAGAUAUUAGAAUAAUAUAUAUGGUGUUUGCAUUUUCGUGAAACAAUCCUAUUAUUAAAUUCAUAUUUUUCAUAUGAAUUUUGACUAGAAAUAGGACCAAGUCGUGUUAAACGUAGAUUUGAUAUUUCUUGAAAAAAGGAUAUUGGAUUAUUGAUUUUCAUUAACAUUAGAAAAAUAAUACCACUUUUUAUGGUCGAAAAUUUGAAAAUAACGCUAAUAGGGGGAUUUAGAAAUUAAAUACAUUCAUCACAUAUAUGCUAAAAACCACUUUUAAGUUUUUUCUUAGUUAAAAUUAGAUUAGAAAAUCACAACAAAUAUCUUUUGAUGUUACUCUUUAUCGAAUUUGAUAGUAACUAGUUUACUGAAAUUAAACAUUAUUUCUCAUGAAAUGAAAACUCUAAACUCACUUUAUCUGUUACUUGUCAAUGAUUCCGUACGCUUGUGAAAUUUAUAUUCGGCAAAACUUUUUUAAGUUUAUAGAAUGAUCGAAUAUCAUUUUCAUCCACACAUUUUUUAUGACUCAUAAUUUUCUUUCACUUUUUAUAAAAUUUAUACCUUACACUUUUCCUUCUAUUUCUAUCAGCCAAGAUGUUAACUAAUUCUGUAAUCACGAAGUAUGUAAAUGGCCUAGAUUAAACAACUGGUUGUAAGUCACUUACCUCCUAACCAAAUUUCACUUGGUCGUCAAUCUAAUAAAUUUUUUUUUUCCUAGUUAUACAUUCUAUGUACUUCGAUCAAACACAAAAAUGAAAAUUUGGUGUGCCAGAUGGGAAAGACUUCAUUUUAUUUCAAAUCAACUAUCGAACAAUUGUUUUUUAAUGCCACUAAUAAUCUUAGGCAAAAUUAAGAGAUCAUGCUUUACCUCAAGUGGAGGCGCCGUGGUCCAGUUCCCACCGUACUGAUGCUUCAUCUACUCUGGAAAUUGUUGCUUUUGCAGUAAAAAUUUCUCCUUUGAACAAUUUGAAGAUAUAAACACUUAUAGAUUUACCCGAGCAGAUUUGAAUAGCUUCAUGAGAUGAUCAACAUGAUCAAAAUGUUAAUGCAAGCCUAUCGAGUUUACAAUGUGUCUUCAAGAUGAAUUUGCUUCUUUCAAUAGUUCUAAAGGCGUACAACAAUCAUUUCCAAAGAUAAAACGAAUUUCAUCUUCGAUGAUAGCGGCACGGCAAUCUGCAAGAGUUCUCACGAACUCAUUGAAGUGCUUACACUUUGAAAAAUCAAUAUCAGAAUAUGAGAGAAGGAAUGAGAUUCAAAACAAAGAAUUUUUUUAAAGAAAAUGGUGUGAAUUUUAGAUUCGCCCAUUUGAAUACCCUUCAAGCCUUUUCAAUACAGUUAUCACUAUUAAGACAGCCUUUCAAAACCCGAACAGUUAGCUCUAAUAGAUGAUUCAGACUAGAAAAUACUUGGGAAAAGCCAACGAUAGGAAAUAAAAAAUAUCAUUUAAAAAUGAUUUCAUUAAG